CACACAAGCGGAGAUUGUGUUGCGGCCGGGUGAUAUAACUAAACAAUCGCGACAGCUUGCAGCGGACUAUGUCUAACUAUUUGCGCCAGCAGAAACCACAAGAGCACACAUAGCCAUGGCUGCGACGAGAAAAUUGCAAGGUGAAAUUGAUCGAUGUUUAAAAAAGGUAGGCGAGGGCGUGGAAACGUUUGAGGAUAUAUGGAAAAAGGUACACAAUGCAACAAAUACCAACCAGAAGCAAAAGCACCUGCAGGAAAAGUAUGAGGCAGACCUUAAAAAGGAAAUUAAGAAGCUGCAGCGAUUACGUGAUCAAAUCAAAUCAUGGAUUGCAUCCGCCGAGAUCAAAGAUAAAAGCGCGCUGCUCGAGAAUCGAAGGCUCAUUGAAACGCAAAUGGAACGCUUCAAGGUUGUGGAGCGUGAGACAAAAACAAAAGCCUAUUCCAAGGAGGGGCUGGGCGCCGCACAAAAGAUGGAUCCAGCGCAACGGAUCAAAGAUCAUGCGCGUAAUUGGUUAACCGGCUCAAUUAGUACACUGCAAAUUCAAAUAGAUCAGUAUGAGAGCGAAAUUGAAUCCCUGUUAGCGGGCAAAAAGAAACGUGUGGAUCGCGACAAACAGGAGCGCAUGGAUGACUUACGGAGUAAGCUAGAUCGUCAUAAAUUUCAUAUAACCAAACUGGAAACGCUGUUACGACUGCUGGACAACGAUGGUGUCGAAGCGGAUCAGGUGAACAAAAUCAAGGAUGAUGUCGAAUACUAUAUUGAUUCAUCGCAAGAGCCGGACUUUGAGGAAAACGAGUUCAUCUAUGACGACAUUAUCGGUCUAGAUGAGGUCGAGCUAAGCGGAACGGCCACAACGGACAGCAACAACAGCAACGAAACCAGCGGCUCGCCCAGCAGCGUUACAUCCGGCGGCAGUCCAUCCCAAUCGCCAGUUACAGUGCAGCAGGUGUUGCCAUCCUCCUCCACACAACCGCAAUCAGCAAUGGCAGGCAGCAGCAGCAGUGCAGGCGGCACAAGCGCCGCAAGUGCAGCCCAAUUUCAGCAUUUGCAGGCUGCAGCCGCAGCGGCGGCAGCAGCCGCCGCUCAGCAAUCGAAUGGCAACAAUGUGGGCUAUGCGAGCGACACCAGCGCAGCUUCAUCCUCAGCGACAACGUCCACCGAGGCGACAACAGGUGGCGAAAAGCGCAACAAAAGCAGCGAAAGCAAUGCCAACAGCAGCAAAGCGAAGCAGCAACCUCAACAGCCGAUCAAGCCGACGCCAGUGCGUGCUACAGCAAAAGCACCCGCGGGUAGUGAUACAGCUCAAGUCAAUAAGAUUAUCAGCUCAACGCCCAGCAAAAACCAGCAGCAGCAGCAGCUACCCACAGUCGCUUCCGUUUUGGCGUCUAGCGGGACACAGAACAACAACAACAGCAGCAGCAGCAGCAGUAGCAGCAGCAGCAAUGUCGCUGCCAGUGGUCACAAUCCUGCCGUGCAGCCACAUGCCCCAACGCCUGGUCUGAGUGCAGUUAAUGUUGCCGUGUCCGCUGGCACAGCAGCAACAGCAGCAGCGGCUGCCGCUGCCGCAUCAGCGAGCAACAGCACCAACAACAUUCAAGGCCAAUCUGUGAUUCAAGCGACACCAACUAUUGCAUUUGCAGCGGUGGCUAAACACAACACAUCACUACUGGAAAAUGGACCUGUGCUGCAGCAACAGCAGGCAACAGCGCCCACGGUGGCCGCCAUUGUGAGUGCCAGCGCACAGGUACAACAGCAACAACAGCAGCAACAGGCGGCGCAAUUAUCCAAUCUUCAAACGAAUUCCUCACACAUGCAAAACGGUCUGCCCGUCUCACUCAGUAGUAGCAGCAGUGGCAGUAGCAACAGCAGCACCAAUAACAACAGCAAUGUUGUCGAUGCGAUUUCAUUGAAAACCAUGGCACAGGAAGCCAUUAAUCGAUCUGUGAUCGAGCCAAAUUCCCUAAAUCAGCAGCAGGCAAGUAAUAUAGACACGAGACAGCAGCAACAACAGCAACAACAACAACAACAAGCGCAGCAGCAAGCAGCGCCGCAAUCGCUGCUGCAACAGCAUUUCAGUACUGAAACAACUGCCAACCAACAACAACAACAGCAGCAGCAACAACAACAACAACAGCAGCAGCAGCUUCAACAGCAACAACAACAAGCGACAGCCGCAGCAGCAGCGCAGCAACAACAACAACAAAAUGCAGCAGCGGCAGCAGCAGCUGUUGCAGCAAUCGGUACCAUCGUUGCUGCAGCCAGCAAUGGUCCCACAGCGGGCAGUGGACUCAUGAAUCUGGCGAAUGCUGCUGGUCAGCCAUCAACCGGCAACGGUGGUGUCGUUGUCGCAGCCAAUGCCAAGACGCAUACACCACAGCAACAACAACAGCAGCAGCAACAGCAACAACAGCAGCAAAUUGCAACAACGGAGGCGCACAUACCACCGCUGCUGGGCGUAACGCCGUUGGGUCCAACGCCGCUACAAAAGGAGCAUCAGCUGCAGUUCCAAAUGAUGGAAGCCGCAUAUUAUCACCUGCCACAGCCGAUUGACACUGAGAAGCUACAAACAUAUUUUCAUCGCUCACCGGUGCAAACGCCAGCGCACUAUCCCCAGGUGAGUCAGGCACAGCUGCCCAUAUACGAUACCGUUGAAUUCUAUCAGCGACUCUCCACGGAGACGCUCUUCUUUGUAUUCUACUACAUGGAGGGCUCCAAGGCGCAAUAUCUCGCCGCCAAGGCGCUCAAAAAGCAAAGCUGGCGCUUCCACACCAAAUACAUGAUGUGGUUUCAAAGGCACGAGGAGCCUAAAAUUAUCAACGAUGAUUACGAACAGGGUACGUACAUCUACUUCGAUUAUGAGAAAUGGAGUCAGCGCAAAAAGGAGGGCUUCACCUUUGAAUACAAGUACUUAGAAGACAAGGAGCUGAAUUGAAGGAUGCGUUGUUGUGAUGCGGAUGCGAAUGCGGAUGCGUCGGCUGUCUGAGAGAAAACCAAUCCAUUACUACAAUAAUGAAUCAAUAGCAUACAAUAUUCACACACAUACACACACACAUACACUCAUCCAACAGAAUCGCACACAUACAAUCACUCACUCACUCACUCACUCACACACACACACACACACACACACACACACACACACACACACACACACACACACACUCCAACAUAAAUCCAUAAACUAAAGAGAAGAUCAUGUGUAAGAAGCGAUAAAGCAAGCAAGCCGUAAGCAUAAGUGAAAAGGAGAAAAACAAUGAAGUAUGAUACUGAUACUUGUUUCGGAAAAUCCAUAUUUACUUCCAACACAAUGAGAAAAAAACAAAAAACAAAAAACAAAAAAAAAAAAAGAAACAAACUAUAAAAAAGUUAUGCAAAAUACGUGCAACAAUUUGAAUUUUCUGGCAGUGUUGUUCCUACCCUCUAUCCGCCCGCCCCUCAAUCUUCAAGCUCCUAUUAGAAUACCGCUUAGCGUCUCUUCACUUACCCACACAUCCUGCUCGAGCUCCCCGCCCUUCCUACGCAUAUGCAUGAUGUAUAAAGAGCGCAACAGUGUGCAGUAAAUACUUUUAAUUGUAAACAAAUACCGCACCGAUUUUUUUAUUGCGUUUGCGUAGAAACAUAAAAACAAAAAGAAAACUCGUGAGAAUUAAAGUAAUAACAAACACUUCAGCUGAUCUUAUUUAAAUUUAAUAAUGUAAUUACGAUUACUAAGAUCAUUGAUUAAGUUGAGCAUGAUAAUGAUGCUGCAAAGCAAACAAACAACAAAUUAUUGAGUAAAAUUAAAUUUUUUUAAAUGUAAGCAAAAUAAAAACAAAACGUGAGAAA